GUCUCAUCUUCCACAUUGAAGGUGUUAUUGAAAAAUAUGCUCACAAGUGCUUAGCAUUUAGUAACUGGUCCAAGCCUGGGCUGGAGUUCUUGGAGAUUGGUAUGGUUCCUGUCAAUUGAUUUUCUGCAAGGUCCAGCCAGUAGAGUUUGGAGAGUUUACCGAGCGAAGCGGGGAUUCUACCAGAUAAAAUGUUUGAGUUGAGAGCCCUGUAAACAAGAAGGAUAGCUCAGCAAGAUUGCCCAGCUCAUCUGGAAUACUACCACUGAAGCCACAGCCAGCAAGAAUUCUGAAAAGGCGCAUGAAAUACAGUUGCUAUGACAUGUUCAAGGAAGAAGUAUAUAUGCCGGCUGACCAUGUAGAAAAUUGAGUACAUCUUACAGGAUUUUCAAGUUUUUCAGAUCUCCUAACCGUGGAGUGAGGGAUCCUGUAACGUUUGGAUUAAAUGACAGGUCCCUGCAAUAAAAAUACCUCAAAGCUUGAAUGUAAGAUUUUAAGACAGAUUAUUGCACGCAUCUGACCAUUUGUGAAAAAAUGUAAUGUUUCAAUGCUUAAUUAUUAGCAACCUUGCUAAGGUAGAACUACAAUUUGAAUUUGCUUAAAAUAAAGAAAAUAGA